UGCGUAGGCGGCUAAUUAAGUCAGCGGUGAAAGUUUUGGGCUCAACCCAGAAAUUGCCAUUGAUACUGGUUAGCUUGAGUAUUGGAGGGGUACAUGGAAUUGAUGGUGUAGCGGUGAAAUGCAUAGAUACCAUCAGGAACACCGAUAGCGAAGGCAUUGUACUGGCCAAUAACUGACGCUGAUGCACGAAAGCAUGGGUAGCGAACAGGAUUAGAUACCCUGGUAGUCC
rnacentral:rRNA from 1 species